rnacentral:rRNA from 1 species
UACGGGGGGGGCAAGCGUUGUUCGGAAUUACUGGGCGUAAAGGGCUCGUAGGUGGCCAACUAAGUCAGACGUGAAAUCCCUCGGCUUAACCGGGGAACUGCGUCUGAUACUGGAUGGCUAGAGAUUGGGAGAGGGAUGCGGAAUUCCAGGUGUAGCGGUGAAAUGCGUAGAUAUCAGGAGGAACACCGGUGGCGAAGGCGGUUCUCUGGGCCUGUACUGACGCUGAGGAACGAAAGCGUGGGGAGCGAACAGG